rnacentral:rRNA from 1 species
AGCAGCCGCGGUAAUUCCAGCUCCAAUAGCGUAUAUUAAAGUUGUUGCAGUUAAAAAGCUCGUAGUUGAAUUUCGAGAUCAAAUUGUUGGUCGUGCCUUGGUACGCACUGGCAUUAUUGGUUUCUCCCUUCUGAAGAACCAAGAUGUCAUUAAUUUGGUGUCUUGGGGAAUCAGGACUGUUACUUUGAAAAAUUAGAGUGUUUAAAGCAGGCUCGCGCUUGAAUACAUUAGCAUGGAAUAAUGAAAUAGGACGUUUGAUUCUAUUUUGUUGGUUUCUAGGAUCGACGUAAUGAUUAAUAGGGAUAGUUGGGGGCAUUAGUAUUCAAUUGUCAGAGGUGAAAUUCUUGGAUUUAUUGAAGACUAACUACUGCGAAAGCAUUUG